CUGAGCUCCAGACCCAUCUGGCCCCAGCUUCCUGGCCACUUCCACUAGGAUGCCCAAGAGCCCAUUGGACUUGACACAUCCAGAACAGAAUCUCCCGUCCAGGACUCCCCAGCUCAAGGAGCGAUGUGACAUGUGAGGAGGCGACUGCAAUCAUCCUGAGAAGAGAUGCUGGAGGCUGCGCUGGACCUUGGCUCAUGGGCCAACGUGUGACCAGGCACAAAGGAGAUGCUUAGUGAACACAUCUUGACAUGAACUAAAAGAUACGGUGAUAUUAACAGAGGGAAUGCCAUUUGACAAGAACCCGAAGGCCAUCUGUCAAAGGGAAGCUUCUACAGGGUGCCGGAGAUGCUGCCCUCAACAAAACAAACACGUUCCUACCCUCCUGCAUCUGCCCCUCCAGGGUUUGGGGAACUUCCAGAAGUUGGGUGUGGCCAGAGAGUCAGAGAGGGAGGGGGUUUGGAGAGCUGGAGCAGAGUUAAAUCAUCCUGUGCCUUGAACGUCAGGCUAAUGAAUUUGCACUUUACCCUGUGAUCGACGAGAAGCUGUUGAAAGCAUGUGGCAUAG
rnacentral:lncRNA from 1 species